AUUAAUGAAUUAGCAGCCCACCCCACCCCCUCUAUAAAUGUUUCCUAUUGAGAUAUCCGUCAAAUAAAUCUAUAUAUUCGUAAAAUAAAUCAAUGUAGACAAGCAUUUACACAUCAACGCAUUUAUUUUCUAAACAAAAUAUUCUCUAAGGCACAUCUAUACGUAAAAAUUAAAAGUUGCACGAUGAUCGACUCGAAGGCGAUUAAUCCCUAUUUUGUAUUUCUGGAUCAGUUUCGCGAUAAUCUGAAAAGACGGGGCAUAAAGAACAUAAAACCCACAACCGUGGCCAAAAUUUCUGGACAAAAAUGGCGCGAAAUGAGUGAUUCUCAGAAGUCUGUGUACAUUAAAAAGGCCAAGAUCAACCGUGAGAUCUUAGACUUUGAAUUAUUCGGGAAAAAAGCGUAGGAGAACUGGGGCACCACAUAAGUCUGAAGGGUCACGCUCUUCCUGGUAACGAAUCCCUUUGGUUAACGAAAUUAUAAAGUUAAAAUCCGCGGCAUAAUUUCACAUGUGGCGACGCUGGAUGAUGCUGUUGCGAGGAUUGCCUGCAGCUUUGCAACCUGGAGUAGAAAUGUCAAGCGCGACAGAAUCAUUUUCAAUCCGUUAAUAUUAUGAUGAGUCAAACAGCUGUUCCCCCGAUGAGUAGUGCUCAAAAAUGUACAGUGUUUUUAGAUUAAAACAAAUUAAAUCAAAAAUCAAAACAAA